rnacentral:rRNA from 1 species
GACGAACGCUGGCGGCGUGCCUAAUACAUGCAAGUCGAACGAUCCGCGACUAACUGCUUGCACUAAGUGACGGAGAGUGGCGAAAGGGAGCGUAACAUGUCGGUACCCGACGGCAAAGGGGGCGAUAACAGUCGGAAACGACUACUAAAACCGAGUAGGACAUAGGAGCACAUGAUCCAGUGAGGAAAGGUGGCGCAAGCUAUCGCGAAGAGAUGGAUCCUCGGUUGAUUAGUUAGUUGGUAGGGUAAAGGCAUACCAAGGCGAAGAUGCAUAGCCGACCUGAGAGGGUGACCGGCCACAUUGGGACUGAGACACGGCCCAGACUCCUACGGGAGGCAGCAGUGGGGAAUUUUGGGCAAUGGGCGAAAGCCUGACGGAGCAACGCCGCGUGCAUGAAGAAGUUCUUCGGGUUGUAAACUUCUUUUGUAAGGGAAGAAAAGCGUAUGGAGUAAAUGUUAUGCAUGUGACGGUAUCUUACCAGAAAGCCACGGCUAACUACGUG